rnacentral:rRNA from 1 species
AUUGAACGCUGGCGGCAGGCCUAACACAUGCAAGUCGAGCGGAUGACGGGAGCUUGCUCCUUGAUUCAGCGGCGGACGGGUGAGUAAUGCCUAGGAAUCUGCCUGGUAGUGGGGGACAACGUUUCGAAAGGAACGCUAAUACCGCAUACGUCCUACGGGAGAAAGCAGGGGACCUUCGGGCCUUGCGCUAUCAGAUGUGCCUCGGUCGGAUUAGCUAGUUGGUGGGGUAAUGGCUCACAAAGGCGACGAUCCGUAACUGGUCUGAGAAGAUGAUCAGUCACACUGGAACUGAGACACGGCCCAGACUCCUACGGGAGGCAGCAGUGGGGAAUAUUGGACAAUGGGCGAAAGCCUGAUCCAGCCAUGCCGCGUGUGUGAAGAAGGUCUUCGGAUUGUAAAGCACUUUAAGUUGGGAGGAAGGGCAGUAAGUUAAUGCCUUGCUGUUUUGACGUUACCGACAGAAUAAGCACCGGCUAACUCUGUGCCAGCCGCCGCGGUAAGAC